rnacentral:rRNA from 1 species
GACGUAGGAUGCGAGCGUUGUCCGGAUUUAUUGGGCGUAAAGAGUUCGUAGGCGGUUAGUUAAGUCUGGUGUUAAAGACCGAGGCCCAACCUCGGAAAUGCAUCGGAUACUGGCUAACUUGAGUGUGGUAGAGGCGAGUGGAAUUCCCAGUGUAGCGGUGAAAUGCGUAGAUAUUGGGAAGAACACCAGUGGCGUAAGCGACUCGCUGGCCCACAACUGACGCUGAGGAACGAAAGCCAGGGGAGCGAAU